AGCCCAUUUUGAGUUAAUAUUUCUCUCUUCAGACAAGUUUAAAAAUCCCACUGAUUUGGAAUAGAUUUGGGAAGAUAAGCUAACUGGCAGUUUCCAGGAACUGAGUUGCUAUUCAACGUCAUAAUAUUUAUCACCAUUUUACUGACUGAUGUUGAUGGUUAGUGAUCUCUCCCAACUAGAAUAAAAGCUUCAUGAAGGCAGAGAUUAUCGUUUCAUUGUUGUCAAUGCUCACUGCUGAUGCUCAGCACAAGGUUUUGAUAAUAACUGAUGGUUAUACGGUACUUACUAUGUGCUUUGUAACUAGGAUGACUAUGUAAUUCAUAUUCCGAACCGUGACGCUUUUUAGAUCAAAUGGAAGGCCCUAUUAAUAAUUAUGCCAAGACAAUAGGAAUAAUCAAGAAUGUCCUGGGCAAAGUAGGACUCACAGUUACUCUGCGUGUUACUGCUCUACACCAACUAUAUGCGUGUUUUACGGAUAUUUCGUUUGCUCCACAUUACAGCACUUGAGGGGAUUACUGUUCUCCCUGUCUUACAGAUGAGAUCCGUACAGUUGUUAUCCCCAUUUUACAAAUGAGGAAGCCGUGACUUAGAAAGACUAACUAAUUUAGUUUCAAGUUCUCUCCAUCAGGACACGCUGAAGAGAGAUGAGCCCGUCUUUUUUCCCCAUAACGAAGCAUGUAACUCGCUUCUGGAAGCUGCCUGUAUUCCUUGGCUUAUAAGCCCUAAAGGGAAUUUUCAAUAUCGUUCCCACUAAAGAGGAAGAACAUGGUGAAUUUUGGAAAGUCCAUGAACCUUGGAGCCAGACCCUGCAUUUAGGCUAUGUAAUCUCACUUGGUUUUCUCAUUAAAGGUCUCUUUCUUCACUUAUGAAAAUGAUGAUGAAAAGCUUGCCAUGACCCUAGCUGAGCGAGGAACAUUAAUACCACCAGUGAUAGACAUCAGCGUUAAGUUCUCCUUGAUAUGGUGCACUGAGAAGUACAUUACCUCUGCAGCAUCCCUCCUAACCGUGCAUAGCCUCGAUCUCAUAGUGAGAAAUCACCGGAGAAGCCCACCCUUAACUGAUGGGCACCCUUCAAAAAAUGUCAGAGUCAUAAAGACAAAGAAGAACUGAGGAAUCGUUCCAGGUUGGAAGAAAGUAAGGAGAGAGGACAAAACGAAAUCCAGUGCGCAAUCCUGGAUUGGAUCCUUGGGCAGAGAAACAGUGGAAAAACGGGUGAAAUUCGAACAAGCUUUGAAUUUAGUUAAUAGUAUUAGACCAAUAUUAGGAUGUACCAUCAUUUCUUUUGAUAAAUAUCUGAUGGUUCUGUAAGAUAUUAACAUAAACAGAAGUUGGGUAAAGGGUAUACAGGGACUCUGUUCUGUUUUUGCAAUUUAUAAAAAAAAAAAAAGUCUAAAGGUAUCUUUUUAAAAAGCCUAUC